rnacentral:tRNA from 1 species
GCCACUGUGGUGUAGUGGUUUGAGCAUUGGACUAGGACUCUGGAGACCAGGGUUCGAAUCCCUGCUCAGCCA